rnacentral:rRNA from 1 species
UACGAAGGGGGCUAGCGUUGUUCGGAAUUACUGGGCGUAAAGCGCGCGCAGGCGGUUUUGUAAGUUGGGGGUGAAAUCCUGGAGCUCAACUCCAGAACUGCCUUUGAUACUGAAGAUCUUGAGUUCGGGAGAGGUGAGUGGAACUGCGAGUGUAGAGGUGAAAUUCGUAGAUAUUCGCAAGAACACCAGUGGCGAAGGCGGCUCACUGGCCCGAUACUGACGCUGAGGCACGAAAGCGUGGGGAGCAAACAGG